rnacentral:rRNA from 2 species
UGGAGAGUUUGAUCCUGGCUCAGGACGAACGCUGGCGGCGUGCCUAAUACAUGCAAGUCGAGCGCAGGAAGCCGUCUGAACCCUUCGGGGGGACGACGGUGGAAUGAGCGGCGGACGGGUGAGUAACACGUAAAGAACCUGCCCAUAGGUCUGGGAUAACCACGAGAAAUCGGGGCUAAUACCGGAUGUGUCAUCGGACCGCAUGGUCCGCUGAUGAAAGGCGCUCCGGCGUCGCCCAUGGAUGGCUUUGCGGUGCAUUAGCUAGUUGGUGGGGUAACGGCCCACCAAGGCGACGAUGCAUAGCCGACCUGAGAGGGUGAUCGGCCACACUGGGACUGAGACACGGCCCAGACUCCUACGGGAGGCAGCAGUAGGGAAUCUUCCACAAUGGACGAAAGUCUGAUGGAGCAACGCCGCGUGAACGAUGAAGGCUUUCGGGUCGUAAAGUUCUGUUGUAAGGGAAGAACAAGUGCCGCAGGCAAUGGCGGCACCUUGACGGUACCUUGCGAGAAAGCCACGGCUAACUACGUGCCAGCAGCCGCGGUA